UAUAACUCCAGCGUCAGAGAUCCAUUCGAUAGCGACUUCUCUCUCUCUCUCUUUUCUGAUAUCAGAAAAACUUUCUUUGUUUUCUCUCUUCCCUUUUCUCAUAUAGAAAAACGUUCAGAGAUUCAAAAAAAAAGGUCGAAUUUUGUUUUUUGGGUAUGACGAUCAUAAGCAAAAGCAAAGGAUGUCUUCAAGAGAUCAAAUCAACUUGCGCCGACUCCAACACUCUGUUUUCAAAAGAUGUAGUUGCAACUUCAGAGCUUUUCUCAUCUGUGGUGUCGUAGCGUGAGAGAGACGGAUUUGCAGUCAUUGAAACUCUUUGGACAUUACAAAGCCCAAUAAAGAUGGACAAAUGACAAGCCCAUUUUUAAAUUUUGUCUGACUCUCGCCUAUCCUACAUGAAUUCUACAGAGACAAUGCAUCAUCCCAUUCGGCUAGGUCAAUUUUCAUCCCUAUCUUGUUUAUAAUCUAUAAUCUUAUAGAUAGGUUACUUACAAAAAAGGUCUUUAAUACUACUUUUGAUUUUUC